GACGACGCUGGCGGCGUGGAUUAGGCAUGCAAGUCGAACGGUAUCAUCCUUUCGGGGGUGAGAGAGUGGCGAACUGGUGAGUAACACGUAGGUUAUCUACCCUCAAGACGGGGACAACCCGGGGAAACUUGGGCUAAUACCGGAUGUGAGCAACUUUUAGUUGUUUGAAAGGUGGCGUAAGCUGUCGCUUGGGGAUGAGCCUGCGUCCUAUUAGUUAGUUGGUGAGGUAACGGCUCACCUAGGCAAUGAUAGGUAGGCGGCCUUAACGGGUGGUCGCCCACACUGGGAUUGAGAUACGGCCCAGACUCCUACGGGAGGCAGCAGUCGAGAAUAGUCUACAAUGGUCGGAAGACUGAUAGUGCGACGCCGCGUGAACGAUGAAUCCCUUCGGGGUGUAAAGUUCUUUUAUAUGUGAGCAGUGCUUCUUAUAUUAACAGUAUGGGGAGAGAGAUAUUAGCAUAUGAAUAAGCAACGGCUAACUCCGUG
rnacentral:rRNA from 1 species